AUUGAACGCUGGCGGCAUGCCUUACACAUGCAAGUCGAACGGCAGCGCGGGUGCUUGCACCUGGUGGCGAGUGGCGAACGGUGAGUAAUACAUCGGAACGUACCUUAUCGUGGGGGAUAACGCAGCGAAAGCUGUGCUAAUACCGCAUACGCCCUGAGGGGGAAAGCGGGGGAUCGAAAGACCUCGCGCGACUAGAGCGGCCGAUGCCUGAUUAGCUUGUUGGUGGGGUAAAAGCCCACCAAGGCGACGAUCAGUAGCUGGUCUGAGAGGACGAUCAGCCACACUGGGACGAAGACACGGCCCGGACUCCUACGGGAGGCAGCAGUGGGGAAUUUUGGACAAUGGGGGCAACCCUGAUCCAGCAAUGCCGCGUGAGUGAAGAAGGCCUUCGGGUUGUAAAGCUCUUUUGUCAGGGAAGAAACACCGGCUCUAACACAGUCCGGGAAUGACGGUACCUGAAGAAUAAGCACCGGCUAGCUACGUGCCAGCCGCCGCUGUAA
rnacentral:rRNA from 1 species